AUGCACACACACGCUACAUCAUGUACGAGGAAGUCAGAGGAAAACUUGCGGUGGCAGGUCUCUCCUUCUGGGACUCAAACUCAGGUCUUCAAGCUUGGCCGCAAGCAUCUUUAUCUGCCGAGCCACAUUGCUGGCUCUUGGGCCAGGACUUUGGAGUGCCUGCCUUUCCCCCAGCUCACUAGCCUGCUUUCGUUUUCUUACUAACCAGUCUCGAUUCUAUUUUAAUGUCUAAUAACUAGUCUCUGGUCAAAUUCAUUGUCCUGGGACACAAGAGCCUGGAAACUUCUACCACUCGUUGUGAGACCUGAGUUAAUAUAUCACAGAGUGAAGACAAGUGUCUCCUCAUUCCCCUUUUCCUCGUGAUUGGCUGAGGACGGAGUUUCACGCACCAUUAACUUGAAGUCCUCGCCACACGUCCCUGUGCCUCACAGGCUGGUGGUGACCCGAGAGUUGACAGUGUUCCUUUGGCACAAGAAACUUCAAGUAUCUUAAACAUGGAAUGUGGAAAAAGAGCAUGGGUGACUCACAGCAGCUGCCUCACUGAAAAAGCCCACCCCAGCAUGAGUGACCCUAGUUCAGGGAACUCCAUCACCCGAACCUCUACUUCCAGAGACUGGAGCACAUUAAUGGAGUGUAACUGAUGGUCAGGGGUCAGUCCUGAAGGGGCUGGUAGGGCACUGGGAAAUAUCCAAGUCUUAAUCUGAAAGUACUGGGGACCCAUGAUCACAUCUGACAGUACUGGGGACCCAUGAUCACAUCUGACAGUACUGGGGACACAUGCGGAUCACAUAGGAGGGAUGGAUACAACUUGGAUUUUAGUCCUUGCUCUGGCUCUGGUAUGGAGGUCUCAGAAUUAGUGCAGAGGCCACCCUAGUGCAGAUUGCUACAAGCACCUCUUCCUUUCUCCCCCUCUCUCUCCCUCAGUCCCUCUGUCCCUCUAUCCCGACAGUGUUUCACGUGUCCAAGAGUAACCUUGAACUUGAUCUGUCAUGGUCUUGAACUUUUUUAAUUAAAAAUUUUCUUUAGAUUUA